AUGUGUCACACACAUAGUCAUUCGUGUCACACACGCACACUCAUUUGUGUGUCACACUCAUGUACACACACAUUCGUGUGUCACACAUUGUCAUUUGUGUCACACACUCAUUUGUGUGUCACUCAUGUACACAUUUGUGUCACAGUCAUCCGUGUCACACUCAUGUACACACACAUUCGUGUGUCAGUCAUUCAUGUGUCACUCAUUUGUGUCACUCAUGUACACACACUCAUUUGUCACACAUAUAUACACACAUCCAUGUGUCACACACAGUCAUUCAUGUGUCACGCACACACACUCAUUUGUGUCACACUCAUGCACACACUCAUUCGUGUCACAUACACACAGUCAUUCAUGUGUCACACACACUCAUUUGUGUCACACUCGUACACACAUUCAUGUGUCACAUUCAGUCAUCCGUGUCACACACUCACUCAUUUGUGUUUCACACUCAUGUGCAUACACUCAUUCGGGUCACACACUCAUUUGUGUCACACUCAUGUACACACAUUCAUGUGUCACAUUCAGUCAUCCGUGUGUCACACACUCACUCAUUUGUGUCUCACACUCAUGUGCACACACUCAUUCGGGUCACACAGUCAUUCAUGUGUCACACUCAUGUACACAUUCAUGUGUCACACAUUCAGUCAUCCAUGUGUCACACACGCACUCAUUUGUGUCACACUCGUGCACACACUCAUUCGUGUCAAACAGUCAUUCAUGUGUCACACACACUCAUUUGUGUGUCACACUCAUGUACACACAUUCAUGUGUCACAUUCAGUCAUCCGUGUGUCACACACAGUCAUUCAUGUGUCACACACGCACACACACUCAUUCGUGUCACAUACUCACAGUCAUUCAUGUGUCACACAUGCACACACACACAGAGCUGGGACGCCCAGGCCCCAAAGCCGGAGGUCCUGGGUUCCGGUGCGGCCUCAGACACUCCCCAGCUCAGGGAUGGCCACGUUGCGUAGCCCCCAGCCCGGACCACUCUGUUGCCUCGGCACCAUCCCACAGCACUGAUGCUAAGGCGGAAGCUAAGGAUGACAUUUUGGGGUUU
rnacentral:lncRNA from 1 species